AGUAACGCGUGAGGAACCUGCCUCAAAGAGGGGGACAACAGUUGGAAACGACUGCUAAUACCGCAUAAGCCCACGGCUCGGCAUCGAGCAGAGGGAAAAGGAGCAAUCCGCUUUGAGAUGGCCUCGCGUCCGAUUAGCUGAUUGGUGAGGUAACGGCCCACCAAGGCGACGAUCGGUAGCCGGACUGAGAGGUUGAACGGCCACAUUGGGACUGAGACACGGCCCAG
rnacentral:rRNA from 1 species